rnacentral:rRNA from 1 species
GACAGAGGGUGCAAACGUUGUUCGGAAUUACUGGGCGUAAAGCGCACGUAGGCGGCUUUGUAAGUUAGAGGUGAAAGCCCGGAGCUCAACUCCGGAAUUGCCUUUAAGACUGCAUCGCUCGAAUCCAGGAGAGGUGAGUGGAAUUCCGAGUGUAGAGGUGAAAUUCGUAGAUAUUCGGAAGAACACCAGUGGCGAAGGCGGCUCACUGGACUGGUAUUGACGCUGAGGUGCGAAAGCGUGGGGAGCAAACAGG